rnacentral:lncRNA from 1 species
GCUAACGUUAAGUUUGUAUGAAUGAAUUUUUUUUGUUGUACCAUUUUUGGAGCUCGCUCAAGGGCAAUCCUGGCUCUAGUGAUGAUGCCGAACUGACCUAGGCCACCGAGAGCAGCAUGGAAGAGAUCGGAGUUCUGAUCGGGUGAGCAAGUGAUGAUAUCCCCUCUUCCUGCAUUUGACAGUCAUGAUAUAGGAUCCAUUCUGUUGCUUUGGAAACUUUUAAAUCAGCAUAUUAUCAUGGUUUGUCUAUACCUGUCACAAUCUCCAGCUCUAUGACGUUGCUGAUUUGUGGGCCAUGUCGGAACGUCUGCCCACUGACCCCUGCAUUCGACAGUGUGCCUCCAAUUGUGAGGUGGAGAUAAUCAGUCCAUGACUUUGGCGCCAGACCAUACUUAAAUGUCUCAUGCAGGACAUUUAUCCAGAGUUCUCCUCCUGAGGCAUCAACAUAGGGUGAUGCACCAGAGUGCACCUGCAUUCUGGCAGUCGGGAGGGAUUCCAUUUUGAUGACAAUCCCUCCAGCAGCCUGGCACUGCCCUCGGAGUGAGUGUCCAUGCCCACGGGCCGCCACGGUGAGCAUGGAGUGCUCACCCUUCAAGAAAACAUGCCUGACCGUAAUGGCAAUGUCAUCUACUGAGCCUGGAUGAAGCACAGCAGCUGGCAUGAAGCUAGAGAGGUUUCCAAAGUCCCUGGCAGCGGUAGACAUGUCGCGGAAGCUGAAAUGGCCAUCAAGGGGUAGUUUACGGAGGGAUUCAAGCACAUCUUGGUCAGGCACGUGGGCAAUGAUAACUCCACCAAAAGCAAAUAAAAGGAAAAGCUUCAGGUAUUGCAGAACUGAAGGUUUCAUGGCUCCUACCUACAGCUCAAGAACCAACUAGUUCGGCAGUUCAAGUUUUGAGGAGAAAGAUGAAAGGUUUAGUAGGAUGGUGUGGUUCAGUGCAGGAGCAGAGGGAUGGGAAUGGAAAUGUAGGGAGGGAAGGAGAUUUAAAGGGGGCACUCAGAGGAUUUGCAUGUGGACUAGUGUAGGAGGUGGUGUCGUCAAAACAGACUUUGGGAACCGUUUGGUAGACUAGGAUCAGUAUGUGAACAGGCUUGACUGCAAAAUAUGGAUGCAGACAUACUGCGUAUUUGCGCUGGUGCAAGUGUUCCUGCCUAGAGUCUCUUGCUUCGUUGCUUCUAUUUGAAGUGUGGCACAACAUGAGUAAAUGAAUGGAGGAAGGAUGAAGAGAUGUAGUCCAUUCAUUAGAGACUGUCUAUCAUGGUUCAUAUCAUUCACUACACCAAGCCCAUGAGAACAGUGACGUUUCAAGGAUCGUGCAGUGAUAGAGAUAUAUUUGGAAUUUGUAUAUGUGAGGCAUAUCUCAGCAGGAUUGAACUUAUGGUCGAGCCAGACAGUUGUAACAUAGCAGAUAUGUAAGUGGCAGACUUGAUUUCUGUCUAGCAGGACCCACUUGUGCUUUAAAUCUGAUUUCAUGUGCAGAAUUUCCUGUCAGUCUUCGGCAGGAUCAGCUGUAGAUGUGCUAUUUUUUGCCUUUGGACUUGUAAGUGGCAACAUCCUCUUGAGCAUAUCUGAUAAAGUUGCUUUCAGGAUGCUUGUAUUUGUACAGACACUGCAUGCAUAUCUAUUUCUGCAGAACAUACAUGUCGGUAAGAAUCAUUCUGUCUAGCCAAUUUCAGGAAUGUUGAUACGCUAAGAGAAAUUUUCUUUUCAAUAUUUUGUUCUUAGCUCAAUCGUAUGGACAUGGAAUGCCUAAGGAUUCUUUUCCUUUGUGGUGGC